CUUCCCGCUUGGGGGGACCUGCGGAAGGAUCAUCACAGAGUUAUGCCAGAAGGGUAGACCUCCCACCCUUGUGUAUUAUUACUUUGUUGCUUUGGCGAGCUGCCUUCGGGCCUUGUAUGCUCGCCAGAGAAUACCAAAACUCUUUUUAUUAAUGUCGUCUGAGUACUAUAUAAUAGUUAAAACUUUCAACAACGGAUCUCUUGGUUCUGGCAUCGAUGAAGAACGCAGCGAAAUGCGAUAAGUAAUGUGAAUUGCAGAAUUCAGUGAAUCAUCGAAUCUUUGAACGCACAUUGCGCCCCUUGGUAUUCCGGGGGGCAUGCCUGUUCGAGCGUCAUUUCAACCCUCAAGCUUAGCUUGGUAUUGAGUCUAUGUCAGUAAUGGCAGGCUCUAAAAUCAGUGGCGGCGCCGCUGGGUCCUGAACGUAGUAAUAUCUCUCGUUACAGGUUCUCGGUGUGCUUCUGCCAAAACCCAAAUUUUUCUAUGGUGACCUCGGAUCAGGUAGGAUACCAGCGGAACUUAAGCAUAUCAAGGGGGGGAGAGGGAAA
rnacentral:rRNA from 1 species